UGCCAGUUUUUUUUAAAUCCACUUAUUCCUUGAAGUUCUAUAAAUCUUCAUCCAGUUCAAAGAUAUGACCUUCUUAUAAGCAUGCAAUUUAGAGUAGGUCAGAGUCCUUUCCAUGGAUUUUUCUAAAGAUAUAAUAUACCUGCAAAUGCAUCAGA